rnacentral:pre_miRNA from 1 species
AGUGGAAUAGCUGGGUGGAAUGGUGGUUCCAUUCCCAGCUUUCCAAGGAAUCUCCAUAUUGCUUUCCAUAUUGGCGGCACCAAUUUGCAGUCCCACCAGCAAU